UACGGAGGUUGCAAGCGUUGUUCGGAAUUACUGGGCGUAAAGGGGGCGCAGGCGGCUUGACCAGUCUGAAGUGAAAGCCCGGGGCUCAACUCCGGAAUGUCUUUGGAUACUGUCAAGCUUGAGUACGUGAGAGGAGAGUGGAAUUCCAGGUGUAGCGGUGAAAUGCGUAGAUAUCUGGAGGAACACCCGUGGCGAAAGCGGCUCUCUGGCACGUUACUGACGCUCAGGCCCGAAAGCGUGGGGAGCAAACGGGAUUAGAUACCCCGGUAGUCCACGCCGUAAACGUUGUGCGCUAGGUGUAGGAGGUAUCGACCCCUUCUGUGCCGCAGCUAACGCAUUAAGCGCACCGCCUGGGGAGUACGGUCGCAAGACUGAA
rnacentral:rRNA from 1 species